rnacentral:rRNA from 1 species
CACGUAGGGUGCGAGCGUUGUCCGGAAUUAUUGGGCGUAAAGAGCUCGUAGGCGGUGUGUCGCGUCGGCCGUGAAAACCUGUGGCUUAACUAUGGGCUUGCGGUCGAUACGGGCAUCACUGGAGUUCGGCAGGGGAGACUGGAAUUCCUGGUGUAGCGGUAAAAUGCGCAGAUAUCAGGAGGAACACCGGUGGCGAAGGCGGGUCUCUGGGCAGUAACUGACGCUGAGGAGCGAAAGCGUGGGGAGCGAACAGG